ensembl:snRNA U6 U6 spliceosomal RNA
AUGUUCACUUAAGCAGCACCUAUACUGAAGAUGGAAUGGAACAGAGACAAUUAACAUGGCCAUGCACAAGGAUGACAUGCAAAUUCCUGACAUGUUACAUAUUUUU